rnacentral:rRNA from 1 species
AAUAUUGCGCAAUGGAGGGAACGCUGACGCAGCGACGCCGCGUGAGCGAUGAAGGUCUUCGGAUCGUAAAGCACUGUCCUUUGGGAAGAAGGGAUCCGUAAGGCUUCUCUCCGGUACCCAUGGAGGAAGCCCCGGCGAACUACGUGCCCGCAGCCGCGGUAAUACGUAGGGGGCAAGCGUUGUCAGGAAUUAUUGGGCGUAAAGGGUGCGUAGGCGGCCCUUUAAGUCAGAUGUGAAAGCCCACGGCUUAACCGUGGGACUGCAUUUGAAACUGGAGGGCUUGAGUGUCGGAGAGGGCAGUGGAAUUCCCAGUGUAGCGGUGGAAUGAGUAGAUAUUGGGAGGAACACCAGUGGCGAAGGCGACUGCCUGGACGAUAACUGACGCUGAGGCACGAAAGCUAGGGGAGCAAACA